UAGUCAUAUGCUUGUCUCAAAGAUUAAGCCAUGCAUGUCUAAGCACAAGCCGAUUAAUGGUGAAGCCGCGAAUGGCUCAUUACAACAGCCAUAGUUUCUUAGAUCUUACUUUUCUACUUGGAUAACUGUGGUAAUUCUAGAGCUAAUACACGCAAACAAGCUCAGACCUUACGGAAUGAGCGCAUUUAUUAGAACAAAAACCAAUCGGGCUUCGGUCCGUCAUUUGGUGAAUCUGAAUAACUUUGCUGAUCGCACGGUCUUCGUACCGGCGACAUAUCUUUCAAAUGUCUGCCUUAUCAACUUUCGAUGGUAGUUUAUGCGCCUACCAUGGUUGUAACGGGUAACGGAGAAUAAGGGUUCGACUCCGGAGAGGGAGCCUGAGAAACGGCUACCACAUCCAAGGAAGGCAGCAGGCACGCAAAUUACCCACUCCCGGCACGGGGAGGUAGUGACGAAAAAUAACGAGACGGCUCGCUAUGCGGUCCGUCAUCGGAAUGGGUACAAUUUAAAUCCUUUAACGAGGAUCUAUU
rnacentral:rRNA from 1 species